rnacentral:ncRNA from 1 species
AACAGACUUAGUCCUAACCUUACYGUUAGUUUCUACCAAACAUAUACAUGCAAGUAUUCGCACACCAGUGUAAAUGCCCACGACUUCUAAAUUAGAUUGGAGGAGCAGGCAUCAGGCGCGCAAAUUAAUUGCAGCCCAAGACGCCUUGCUUAGCCACACCCCCACGGGUAUUCAGCAGUAAUUGACAUUAAGCAAUAAGUGAAAGCUUGACUUAGUUAUGGUAGAACUCAACUCAGGGCUGGUUAAUCUUGUGCCAGCUACCGCGGUCAUACAAGAAGCCCAAAUUAACGGUAGUGCGGCGUAAAGAGUGGCGCAAUAAUAUCACGCAACUAAGACAGAGAUGCAACUGAGCUGUCAUAAGCCUAUGAUGCAUAUAAGUCCAACAUCAAGACGAUCUUAGCAAAAAAGAUUAACUACAGCCACUAAAGCUAAGGCCAAACUGGGAUUAGAUACCCCACUAUGCUUAGCCCUAAAUCAUGGUACUCACAGUACUAGAGUACCCGCCCGAGAACUACGAGCACAAACGCUUAAAACUCUAAGGACUUGGCGGUGCCCUAAACCCACCUAGAGGAGCCUGUCCUAUAAUCGAUAACCCACGAUACACCCAACCACUUCUAGCCUAAGCAGCCUACAUACCGCCGUCCCCAGCCCACCUUACAUGAGAGAUAUAAUAGUGAGCUCAACAGCCACCCGCUAGUAAGACAGGUCAAGGUAUAGCCCAUGAAGUGGGAGAGAUGGGCUACAUUUUCUAAAAUAGAAUAUAACGGAAAGGGAAAUGAAAAUACCUUCCCUGGAAGGCGGAUUUAGCAGUAAACUGGAACAAUAAAGUCCAAUUCAACCAGGCCCUAGGGCACGUACAUACCGCCC